AUUGCGUCGUCCCCCCCCACCCGUGUCCUGAAAGGGCCGCGGGCUUUUGGCGUGGGGGCGGAAGUUGGCUUCCCGUGCAGUGUGUGCGGCUAGCCUGAAACACGGUUCCCUCGCCGCGGACGUCGCGACAAGUGGUGGUCGUCGAGAUUGUACGCGAGUUGCCGGCAAGCUGCGUCGAGGGGAGCAUUUGGACCCUGUGCGUGCGGGAUGAGCCCUUCACAGAGGGGCAAUUCCCAACGAUUGCGACCCCAGGUCAGGC
rnacentral:rRNA from 1 species